GCACCUCAAUCAAAUUAUUUAGAUUAAUUCAUGGUUCGAAUAGAAGUCUUUGGUACGAGUUAACAUAAAAGCUUAAGCAUGUCAUACUUCUGCCUCUCAAUACACACAACUAUUUCAGUGUUCUGUUACCUAAUAGGCAUGACAAGCAUCCACGCUAUUACCCAAUAGGCAUGUCAAUGCUUCCACUUCUAUUGUCCAAUAGACAUUUCAAAGCAUCUACCUUUUAAAUGUGAAUCAAAGAGAUGCUGUUACAUUUUGAUAUCUGACAAUCUCAUAAUAUAACAAAGUGCCUUCAAGUAACAACUCGCAGCAUUUCUUCGUUGCGGCCAGGAAUCAAGCACAAACACAAAUCCCAGUCUAAGUAUUUUGGACAAAUAAAUUCACCCAGCUCCGCCGGCGUGCUCUUUGCGUCGAGCUCGACCACAUGCAGCUUCAGCAGCGGCAGCACACGAACAGCGGCGGCAACAAACACGGCCUCCAUCGCCAUGGUGACAUUUUUGCUUCCUCUUUCUUCUUACCUUUCAUCCCAGUCCAUGUUGCUGCCAUUACUCUUUACCUCCACGAGAACAAGGCGUCCAGUGCUAGAGCAUUAAGACGAAAAUGGUUAAGAGUUAAGACAGAAACAUUUCUCCCCAGAAAAUUGAAGUAAACGAACAGACAUAUGGUGGCCUCGCUUCAGGGGAGCAAAUCAGCAAACACAUGGACUGCAUAAUAACCAACCAGGUGGCGGAUGUACACCAUCGAAAUCGACCUAAUUGUCAAAAAAAGAGAGGCAAAUGCAAGAAGAACAGCACAAUCCAUAGAAGGUCGGCGGAGCGCCAAUGCCAGAGCUCCCGGAGGCAGACGAACAGAUAUGUUGCCAUCAAGGGCCGAAGGCAGAGGAGGUCUCCUCAGCGGCGCCGGCGCGCGGCGAAGACCUGGAGGCGCCCGAGGUCUCCUAGGCCAGAACCUCGUGCUCCUGGAGGAAGAUGGGGAGCGCCGAGCGCCGUGGCUGCUGCUGUUCUUGAGCACGAGCUGCUGUGGUUGAGCUCCAGCUCGUCGUCCCGGUGAUGGUUGUUGAGGCGGAAGCGAGAAUUAGGUCGGCGAUCUCGUGCAUCUAGGGCCGGCCAGGUAUCGUUGUGGGCCUGGUUGGGUUUAAAACUGUUUUUUGAUUUUUGGCUUAUAAGCCACAAAAACAUCUAAAUAGUUGGUUUUGACUUUGACUUUUUGCUUAUACCAUCAUCUAACAAUAUAUCAAGUCAAAUGUCAAAAGCCAAAACCGAAAGAACAUAAUUUGGUGCUUUUGUGGCUUAUAAGCCAAAAAUUAAAAAGCAGUUUUAAGACCAACCAAACAGGACCUAAAUAUCAAGAGUUGGUACGGGAUACAAAUACAACACGUAGAAAAACUACAUCUAUAUGUACACAUACUAUGUUUAUCAAUUGCAACUUCGAACAGCCAUGGCCACAGGCCUUGUGUGCCUUGAGCUUUACAAGGUUCUGUCUGGUGGCCACACAGUCGAAGACUAUCGCAAUACAUUUGCUAACCUUGCAAUACCGAUGUUCUCCAUGGCCGAACCUGUUCCGCCCAAGGUGAUCAAGCAUCAAGACAUGAGAUGGACCGUGUGGGACCGAUGGUCUAUCCAGGGCAACAUCACUGUUGCAGAACUACUAAAAUGGUUAAGCGACAAGGGUCUGAGUGCUUACAGUGUUUCUUGCGGGACAUCGCUGUUGUAAAAUACCAUGUUCACGAGGCACAAGGAUCGACUGAACAGGAAGAUGGUGGAUGUCGCCCAGGAGGUGGCUAAGGUGGAUGUUCCAGCAUACAGGAGGCAUUUUGAUGUUGUUGUGGCUUGCGAGGAUGAUGACGGGAACGACAUUGACAUUCCUCUUAUCUCCAUUUACUUCCGGUAGGUGCGGUCGUUCAUGUAAAAAUAUACGAUGAAUGUGCAAAGAAUUCUUGCGGAAAGAGAGAAUUGAAACAUUCCUAAGCUCCUCCUUAGUUCCUUCUCUAUAUGCAUUGGUCAUUUUGUGUGGGUGUUUCUGCUCUCGAUCCUGCGUGUUGGCAGGGACAGGGACUGCUCUGUUGUUGCAUACGAACUAUUUGCAGGUGUGCAAAGCUAUCUCUUGGAUGUUCUGAUGAAUGUAUCCGCUUGUUAAUCUAGAGUAGUACUGGAGUUGGAGCUUAGAUCCAUGACAAUCUCAUUCUUUCAACAACAAAAAAGGUCGUUUACUCACCUCACUGUAAUCAUCAGCUUCAGUUCGCACGGUUACUCCAGUAGUCCAGUUUGCGUUCAUGGAAUCCCCGGAGUUAGGUAUCAUGUCACUGUGAUUGGGUUAAGCUGCAGAGUUCAUUGCUGCAUUUAUUUUGUCGAUAUGGCCGGGUGCGGGCAACUCAACAAACCACCAUCUCUUGGCUCCCGGCACAUGCGUUGCAGGAGCCAGGGAGUGCACG
rnacentral:lncRNA from 1 species